CUUACCGGGUCCGGACACACUGAGGAUUGACAGGUAUUAUAUAGCGCGCUUGCGCGUCUAUUGUUAAAUAUGCUAGUCCUUUCAUGAUUAUGUGAUAGGUGGUGCAUGGCCGUUCUUAGUUCGUGGAGUGAUCUGUCUGCUUAAUUGCGUUUCAGAUAAGGAUCUAUAUUCUUUACAGAAGUGUUGCGUUGUGCGCAUUUGACCCCUCGUUCGCGAGUGCGUGUCUUUUCGCGCUCGCACGCUUUUUACAUUAGGUCCUGAAAGCAACGAACGUGACCGCAACCUCUUGUUGCCUCAUCUCCCUACUUUUUUAGCACUUCGGUGUUGAAUAAUUUCAUUGAGGCUUUCCAAAACUAGAGGGACCGCUGUCAACUUCUUAAACCAGAGGAAGGUUGCGGCAAUAACAGGUCUGUGAUGCCCUUAGAUGUUCCGGGCUGCACACGUGCUACAAUGAUUGUUGCAGUGAGCAUCUCAAUUUUUUACCU
rnacentral:rRNA from 1 species